UCCUUUUUUUUUUUCUUUUAAAAUUUUCCAUUUUAAGUUGGGUAUUUCUGAUUAAUAUUUAAAAGCAAAUAAUAAUGAUAUGGAAGGAGAUACACACCAAACAGGAUGUGUAAAUUAUUAUAUAAUAAGUAUUGUGCAAUAGCAAGAAAUUUUCAAUUGCACAGUAUUGCACAAUUGCAAGAAAUCUUCAAUUGCACAGUAUUGCGCAAUAGCAAGAAAUCUUCAAUUGCACAGUAUUGCGCAAUAGCAAGAAAUAUCCAAUAGCACAAUAUUGCGCAAUAGCAAGAAAUUGUCAAUUGUACAGUAUUGCACAAUAGCAAGAAAUAUUCAAUUGCACAGUAUUGUGCAAAAGAAGAUACUUCGUAUAAAUUGCUUAUUUCUUGAUCAAUUUCAAUGGGGUUUUAUUCUUGAAUUCUUGGGGUUCUUUAAUAUGCUGAAUCUAACCGUGUAUUAAGUUUUUGGAUUUUGGGCCCCGUUUUUAAAUUGGUCCACAUUGAGGUCCAAAGGGUCCAAAAUUUAACUUUGUUUGAUUUCAUCAAAAAUUGAAUUAUUGGGGUUCUUUGAUAUGCCGAAUCUAACCGUGUAUUUAGAUUCUUAAUUUUUGGUUCAGUUUUCAAAUUGGUCUACAUUAAGGUCAAAAGGGUCCAAAAUUAAACUUAGUUUGAUUUUAACAAAAAUUGAAUUUUUAGGGUACUUUGAUAUGCUGAAUCUAAACAUGUAUUUAGAUUUUUGAUUAUGGGCCCAGUUUUCAAGUUGGUCCAAAUCGGGGUCCAAAAUUAAACUUUGUUUGAUUUCAACAAAAAUUGAAUAUAUGGGGUUCUUUGAUAUGCUGAAUCUAACCAUGUAUUUAGAUUUUUGAUUUUUGGGCCCCGUUAUCAACUUUGUCCACAUUGAGGUCAAAAGGGUCCAAAAUUAAACUUUGUUUGAUUUCAUCAAAAAUUGAAUUCUUGGGGUUCUUUGAUAUGCUGAAUCUAACCAUGUAUUUAGAUUUUUUAUUUGUGGACCCGCUAUCAAAUUGGUUCAUAUUGAGGUCAAAAGGGUCCAAAAUUAAACUUUGUUUGAUUUCAUCAAAAAUUGAAUUAUUGGGGUUCUUUGAUAUGCCAAAUCUAACCGUGUAUUUAGAUUUUUAAUUUUGGGUCCCAUUUUUAAAUUGGUCUACAUUAAGGUCCAAAGGGUCCAAAAUUAAACUUAGUUUGAUUUUAACAAAAAUUGAAUUCUUGGGGUACUUUGAUAUGCUGAAUCUAAACAUGUGUUUAGAUUUUUGAUUAUGGGCCCAGUUUUCAAGUUGGUCCAAGUUGGGGUCCAAAAUUAAACUUUGUUUGAUUUCAACAAAAAUUGAAUAUAUGGGGUUCUUUGAUAUGCUGAAUCUAAACAUGUGUUUAGAUUUUAGAUUUUUGGCCCAGUUUUCAAGUUGGUCCAAAUUGGGGUCCAAAAUUAAACUUUGUUUGAUUUCAACAAAAAUUGAAUAUAUGGGGUUCUUUGAUAUGCUGAAUCUAACCAUGUAUUUAGAUUUUUUAUUUGUGUGCCCGCUAUCAAAUUGGUUCAUAUUGAGGUCAAAAGGGUCCAAAAUUAAACUUUGUUUGAUUUCAUCAAAAAUUUAAUUAUUGGGGUUCUUUGAUAUGCCAAAUCUAACCGUGUAUUUAGAUUUUUAAUUUUGGGUCCCGUUUUUUAAAUUGGUCUACAUUAAUGUCCAAAGGGUCCAAAAUUAAACUUAGUUUGAUUUUAACAAAAAUUGAAUUUUUGGGGUUCUUUGAUAUGCUGAAUCUAAACAUGUGUUUAGAUUUUUGAUUAUGGGACCAGUUUUCAAGUUGGUCCAAGUUGGGGUCCAAAAUUAAACUUUGUUUGAUUUCAACAAAAAUUGAAUAUAUGGGGUUCUUUGAUAUGCUGAAUCUAAACAUGUAUUUAGAAUUUAGAUUUUUGGCCCAGUUUUCAAGUUGGUCCAAAUUGGGGUCCAAAAUUAAACUUUGUUUGAUUUCAACAAAAAUUGAAUAUAUGGGGUUCUUUGAUAUGCUGAAUCUUACCAUGUAUUUAGAUUUUUAUACGACCUCAAAAAAUUUUUUGUGGUCGUAUAUUGGUAUGACGUUGUCGUCGUCGUCCGAAUACACAUUAGUUUUCGCACUCUAACUUUAGUUUAAGUGAAUGGAUCUCAUUGAAAUUUUACCAUAAGGUUCAAUACCACAAAAGGAAGGUGGGGAUUGAUUUUGGGGGUUAUGGUACUAACAGUUAAGGAAUUAGGGGCCAAAAGGGGCCAAAAAUAAGCAUUUUUGUAACUUCCAGACAUAACUUGUGUGUAAGUGUAUGGAUCUCUCUGACAUUGUACCACAAGGUUCCAUAUCACAAAGGGAAUGCUGGGAUUGAUUUUGGGGGUAAUUGUCUCCAAAUUUUAGGAAUUAGGGGCCAAAAAGGGGCAAAAAACAAGCAUUUUUCUAGUUUCAUGACAAUAACUUGUUUGUAAGUGUAUGGAUCUUUAUGAAAUUGUACUACAAGGUUCCAUAUCACAAAGGGAAUACUGGGAUUGAUUUUUGGGGUAAUUUCCUCCAAAUAUUAGGAAUUAGGGGCCAAAAAGGGGCAAAAAACAAGCAUUUUUCUAGUUUCAUGACAAUAACUUGUUUGUAAGUGUAUGGAUCUUUAUGAAAUUGUACUACAAGGUUCCAUAUCACAAAGGGAAAGCUGGAAUUGAGUUUGGGGGUAAUUGCCCUAAACGUUUAGGAAUUUGGGGCCAAAAAGGGGCCAAAAAACAAGCAUUUUUCUAGUUUCCAGACAAUAACUUGUGUUCAAGUGUAUGAAUCUCUCUGAAAUUGUACUGCAAGGUACCAUACCACAAAGGGAAAGCUGGGAUUGAGUUUGGGGGCGAUGAAUCAUAAGGGGGUUCAAAAAAUUGGGGGGGGGGAUUUUUUUUUUCCUUUUUUUUCUUGAACAUUUUCCAUUUUAAAUUGGUUAUUUCUGAUUUAUAUAUAAAAGCAAAUAAUAAUGAUAUGGUUUGAAUAGGCAUACAUGUGAACCUCCCGACGGGAGUACAAUAAUCCCGUUUUCAGGGGUCUCCUCCCCCCCUCCCGUUGAAAAAAUCCCGUGUAUGAAAUUUUUCAUGAAUGAAAAAUUUCUGCCCAACAUAACAUCUCAGGCAUCUGGUGUAACUGACAUUACCUGAAGUUAUAUUUUACCUGUAAAUCAAUUAACAUGCAUAAUUAUAUGGCUUCACUUGUCAGCUUGGGUGUCAAACAUACUGGUAAGCAACGAUUUUUACCUCAGGCUAACUGCCGUUGUGUAACAAAAACUGUGUAUUUAUUGGGUUACUUCCCUUGAUUUAUCCUGUUUUAAGUUACUUUCCUUUUAAUAAUGAAAAUUUUUAAAAGAAUAUAAAUAAAAUAUAAAUUGAACAAAUAAUCAUAAAAGGAUGGUUAUUAAAUGAUUUUAAAUGUCUUAGGACAAAUAAAAAAAUAAUAAUUUGAAAAUUAUUUGAGGAUUCUAUACUUCCUUUUAAGGCUUAAAUUGAAAUUUAUAUAAUAACUAUGACCCUAACUUUACAGAUAGAAUGAAUUUCUGAGUUUGCAAAUAUAAACUAUUUGUAAGAGAAAAAAAAAAAAAUAAAAACUAUUUGCAGACAGCUAAACAAAUGUUCUGGUUGCAAUGAUUGUUUUAUAGAAUAUGAAGUAAAAAAUUUAAAGAACAUACUGGAAAAAAACAAUGUUAGAUUGAACAUGUAGAAUAUAAAGAUGGAGAAACUUUAUAAGGGUACUAUAAACAUAAUAAAUUGGUUGGAAAGUUGAAGAAAACACACUUUAAAAGACCAUUUUUACAGCACACGGUUACAUUUACAACAAAAUUAAUGUCGAUUAAAAACCUCCUGAUCUGAGUCCUAAUCUCCUGACCAAAAUUUCCCAAUCUCCUGAUCUGAGUUUCACAGUCCAUCACAUGUAUGAAUAGGUAAAUUGAAAAUUUUUAAGUUCUUAGACCACUUUCAUUCUGUGUCAGAAACCUAUGCUGUGUCAAAUAUUUAAUUACAAUCCAAAUUCAGUGCUGUAUCAAGCUUGAAUGUUGUGUCCAUACUUGCCCCAACUGUUCAGGGUUCGACCUCUGCGGUCGUAUCAAGCUGCGCCCCAGCGGAGCAUUUUAUUUAUUUUGUGGGCCUGCUAUCAAAUUGGUUCAUAUUGAGGUCAAAAGGGUCCAAAAUUAAACUUUGUUUGAUUUCAUCAAAAAUUGAAUUAUUGGGGUUCUUUGAUAUGCCAAAUCUAACCGUGUUUUUAGAUUUUUAAUUUUGGGUCCCGUUUUUUAAAUUGGUCUACAUUAAGGUCCAAAGGGUCCAAAAUUAAACUUAGUUUGAUUUUAACAAAAAUUGAAUUCUUGGGGUACUUUGAUAUGCUGAAUCUAAACAUGUGUUUAGAUUUUUGAUUAUGGGACCAGUUUUCAAGUUGGUCCAAGUUGGGGUCCAAAAUUAAACUUUGUUUGAUUUCAACAAAAAUUGAAUAUAUGGGGUUCUUUGAUAUGCUGAAUCUAACCAUGUAUUUUGAUUUUGGACAUUGGACCAUAAUAGGUAAAUUAAAAAAAUUGAAGUUCUUA